ensembl:lncRNA
UAUAUGGAACCCAUGGUUGUGUGAUAACCAGUCCAGACCAGAAGGCUAAUGCUGGGACAGAUGUCCAUUUGUCGUGUAAUUUCUGGCAAUGUCCUGGACCUCUGGACAUCAUGUCUCUUAGUGUGGAGUGGGAAUUCAAGGUAGGCUUAUUUUUUAGGAAUACAGACAUACACAAAUAUACUUGACACUUUUUAUACAAGCAUGUAUUAUUAUUAUUAUUAUUAUUAUUAUUAUUAUUAUUAUUAUUAUUAUUAUUAUUACUUUUUUUUUUUUUUUUUAACACAGGAUAUCUCCUCUGAGCCAAAAAUAAUCCUCUACUACAUCAGAAAUCGAACUGUACCACUUCCUGGUGUGUUUUUUCAGGGAGAUGUCGAAUUAGGGAGUUUUGAUAUACAUCUCCCGUCUGUGACCCAUGAGAACAGUGGAACUUAUUUAUGUAGAUUACGUCUCAAUGGCAUUUUUCACAAGAACCAAACACACCUUAUUGUGCAAUCAGCACUGACCAGGAGAAACAAUCCAGGUGUAAAUCAUCUGCAGAAACGUCCUCCCUGGUUGCUGCCCCUGGCCUCAGUGGCAUCAGUGGCUGGGUUUGUGUUACUAAUUGGUACAGUUUUUUGGGGGAGGAAAGCUUACACGUCAACCCAGAGAGAAAACAACUCAAAGCAAAAUAUGGAAGAGGCUAAAACCAGCACUGAUGCUGAAGACAAGGGAAUUAUAUAUAAGGUGGGAUUCAGCAUGCCUGACCUCGCAGACGUGAACAGUCCACCUAGCAGUCCAGAUAACAUCUAUGUUACCAUGCAUGGUUUGCCAUUCGCACCAGAUGUUCCUGCCACAGCUGGACGCAACAGACGUCUUCCCUCUGAUUGGCAGCUGAAGGAUGAGGAACCCGUAUUUGUCCGCUGAUACCAAGAUUUAUUAGUCAGAUCAUGCCACUUGAAAGAUGAGACACAGAAUAAGUGAUUAUUUAAAUUAGUGAGAGUAAGUAUUGUCAGAUAUGCAUUAUAUAGUCCCAAAACAGACUGUUUUGUGUAUUAUUUUUCAAUACUCACCAGCUGUACAUCACUGUACAUUAUCCCUCAUAAUAAAUCUGUUAUUUCCUCAUGCA